rnacentral:rRNA from 1 species
UAGAGUUUGAUCCUGGCUCAGGAUGAACGCUAGCGGCAGGCUUAACACAUACAAGUCGAGGGGCAGCAUGAGACGGAGAUUCGUCGAAGUCUUGAUGGCGACCGGCGCAAGGGUGCGUAACGCGUGAGCAACUUGCCCGUUUCUGGGGGAUAACCGGUGGAAACGCCGACUAAUACCCCAUGGCAUCGUGAUGAGGCAUCUCAUUGCGAUUAAAGAGUUUCGGAAACGGAUAGGCUCGCGUGACAUUAGCUAGACGGCGGGGUAACGGCCCACCGUGGCGACGAUGUCUAGGGGUUCUGAGAGGAAGGUCCCCCACACUGGAACUGAGACACGGUCCAGACUCCUACGGGAGGCAGCAGUGAGGAAUAUUGGUCAAUGGUCUGACGACUGAACCAGCCAUGCCGCGUGAAGGUGACGGCCCUAUGGGUCUUAAACUUCUUUUGCGAGGGAGCAAUAAGGGUCACGUGUGGCCUGAUGAGAGUACCUCGCGAAUAAGCAUCGGCUAACUACGUGCCAGCAGCCGCGGUAAUACGUAGGUGACAAGCGUUGUCCGGAUUUACUGGGUGUAAAGGGCGUGUAGGCGGGAUAGCAAGUCAGUCGUGAAAUACCGAGGCUCAACCUCGGGGCUGCGAUUGAAACUGUUAUUCUUGAGUAUCGGAGAGGAAAGCGGAAUUCCCAGUGUAGCGGUGAAAUGCGUAGAUAUUGGGAGGAACACCAGUGGCGAAGGCGGCUUUCUGGACGACAACUGACGCUGAGGCGCGAAAGUGUGGGGAGCAAACAGGAUUAGAUACCCUGGUAGUCCACACCGUAAACGAUGGAUACUAGGUGUAGGAGGUAUCGACUCCUUCUGUGCCGCAGUAAACACAAUAAGUAUCCCACCUGGGGAGUACGACCGCAAGGUUGAAACUCAAAGGAAUUGACGGGGGCCCGCACAAGCAGUGGAGUAUGUGGAUUAAUUCGAAGCAACGCGAAGAACCUUACCUGGUCUUGACAUCCCGAUGCCCGGUAUAGAGAUAUACCUUUUCUUCGGAACGUCGGUGACAGGUGGUGCAUGGUUGUCGUCAGCUCGUGUCGUGAGAUGUUGGGUUAAGUCCCGCAACGAGCGCAACCCCUAUUGUUAGUUGCCAUCAUUAAGUUGGGCACUCUAGCGAGACUGCCGGUGACAAAUCGGAGGAAGGUGGGGACGACGUCAAAUCAUCAUGCCCCUUAUGACCAGGGCCUCACACGUACUACAAUGGCCGAUAACAAAGUGCAGCAAAAUCGUAAGAUGGAGCGAAUCACAAAACUCGGUCUCAGUUCGGAUUGUGGGCUGAAACUCGCCCACAUGAAGUUGGAAUUGCUAGUAAUCGCGGAUCAGCAUGCCGCGGUGAAUACGAACCCGGGCCUUGCACUCACCGCCCGUCAAG